rnacentral:rRNA from 1 species
GACAGAGGGUGCAAACGUUGUUCGGAAUUACUGGGCGUAAAGCGCGUGUAGGCGGCUAUGUAAGUCGGGCGUGAAAUCCCACGGCUCAACCGUGGAAGUGCACCCGAAACUGCGUAGCUAGAGUCCUGGAGAGGAAGGUGGAAUGCUUGGUGUAGAGGUGAAAUUCGUAGAUAUCAAGCAGAACACCUGCGGCGAAGGCGGCCUUCUGGACGAUGACUGACGCUGAGACACGAAAGCGUGGGGGAGCAAACAGG